rnacentral:rRNA from 1 species
UACGUAGGGUGCGAGCGUUGUCCGGAAUUAUUGGGCGUAAAGGGCUCGUAGGCGGUCUGUCGCGUUGUUCGUGAAAACUCACAGCUCAACUGUGGGCGUGCGGGCGAUACGGGCAGACUGGAGUACUGCAGGGGAGACUGGAAUUCCUGGUGUAGCGGUGGAAUGCGCAGAUAUCAGGAGGAACACCGGUGGCGAAGGCGGGUCUCCGGGCAGUAACUGACGCUGAGGAGCGAAAGCGUGGGGAGCGAACAGG